ACAUGGGGCCCGAGCUCGGAGGCGGCCGGGCGGCGCGGAGUCCUCCUGGAUCGUGGCAAUGGGCAGACACAGAGCAGAAAGUGGCGGACUUGGGCGGCCACAGUGCAGGUAACUCACUCCGAAGUUUACCCGAGUGGAGCGGCGGCAUGCUUGCAGCUCGGCGGCAGCCUGUGAGAGCUGAGGGUCAGUUCUUCGAGUAGAUCUCAAGCUGCGUUUUCCUCCUUCUCCAAAGCAGGGAUGGGAAGGUGGAGGCUACUGGUUGAAGAGAAGAAAGGGGUUGGGGGAAUGCAACACCUGCAAACACUAGGGAUUGUGGGUCGAGCGGAAGAGCUAAUGAGAGCCGAGCUCAGGUAUCCCAAGUCAACCAGAAUCAAAUGCGCAGUACGCCACAAGGCAUUUAAUGCCCACAGUAACAGGGCUGUUUGACAGUGGCAGAAGAGGACGGGACUAAAGUUACUUUGUGCUGAGAGGGGGAAAGAAGCACAAAGUUUGGUCUGUUGCGUAAUUGAAUUUUUAACACUCUUAUCCACAACAAACACUUUUUCGUGUCCUGCUGUGUAAAAGACAUCAGAUAUAUUACAGAUUUUCAAACAGGUGAGCAUCCUUUUACGAGCUGGGCAGGUGGGGAGUGGCGUGGUUUUGAUGGAGUGAGGAGAUUUGGUUGAAUGAACGCUAAGAUGGCCAGACGCA
rnacentral:lncRNA from 1 species